rnacentral:ncRNA from 1 species
CUCUUACUAGAUUGAGAAAAAAUGAUCUUGUCGUGCUACGAUGGCAUUACAAUAGGAAGCAAGGCUGUAAGGCAGAGCGAAUCCGGAAAGAUUGUCUCAGUUCGGAUUGUUCUCUGCAACUCGGGAACAUGGAUCACUAGCAAUUAAUCGCGGAUCAACAUGCUGCAGACUGCAGUGAAUAUGUACCCGGG